AGAAGAGUUUAAGACCCUUAUAGGACUCAAAGGAGUGCGACUGGUUAGGAAGGGAGAAAAACUAGCCUGUGUCGCAUAUUCCGACACAAUUGUAGAAAUCAAUCCAGUAACCAAGCAGGCUGAAGAAUU